GAUGAAGAACGCAGCGAAAUGCGAUAAGUAGUGUGAAUUGCAAAUUCAGUGAAUCAUCGAGUCUUUGAACGCACAUUGCGCCCCCUGGUAUUCCGGGGGGCAUGCCUGUCCGAGCGUCAUUGCUGCCCUCAAGCCCGGCUUGUGUGUUGGGCCCCGUCCCCCGAUCUCCGGGGGACGGGCCCGAAAGGCAGCGGCGGCACCGCGUCCGGUCCUCGAGCGUAUGGGGCUUUGUCACCCGCUCUGUAGGCCCGGCCGGCGCUUGCCGAUCAACCCAAAUUUUUAUCCAGGUUGACCUCGGAUCAGGUAGGGAUACCCGCUGAACUUAAGCAUAUCAAUAAGCGGAGGA
rnacentral:misc_RNA from 1 species